UACGAAGGGGGCUAGCGUUGCUCGGAAUCACUGGGCGUAAAGGGUGCGUAGGCGGGUCUUUAAGUCAGGGGUGAAAUCCUGGAGCUCAACUCCAGAACUGCCUUUGAUACUGAGGAUCUUGAGUCCGGGAGAGGUGAGUGGAACUGCGAGUGUAGAGGUGAAAUUCGUAGAUAUUCGCAAGAACACCAGUGGCGAAGGCGGCUCACUGGCCCGGUACUGACGCUGAGGUGCGAAAGCGUGGGGAGCAACAGGG
rnacentral:rRNA from 1 species